AUACGGAGGGUGCAAGCGUUACUCGGAAUCACUGGGCGUAAAGCGCGCGCAGGCGGCUUGAUAAGUUGGAUGUGAAAGCCUACGGCUCAACCGUAGAACUGCAUCCAAAACUGUCAAGCUAGAGUCUGGGAGGGGAAGAUGGAAUUAGUUGUGUAGGGGUAAAACCCGUAGAGAUAACUAGGAAUACCAAAAGCGAAGGCAAUCUUCUGGAACACUACUGACGCUGAGGCGCGAAAGCGUGGGGAGCAAACAGGAUUAGAAACCCGGGUAGUCC
rnacentral:rRNA from 1 species